ACCCCCAGCAAUGGGCAAAGAGAUACUUUGCUGGUGGUGUUCUUCUGUCAGUCAGGGACAGAGCAGAUGGCAGGCCUUUGUUCAUCCUAGCUUGAUGCCCGGCUUGGUGGCCCAAGCUAUCUUAUGCCUAGGACUCAUGA